AUGGCUUUGCUAUGUGGUGCCAUUAGUCACCUCUCUUAAUUUUUCUGUCUGUAAAAAAGGGGGUUGACAAUGGAGUGCCUAGCAAUCUCACUGGUGAGGCAUCAGUGGAUCAAGGAAGGAAUGAGUGACAAGGUGACUUUUAAAGGGUAAAACCUGGAUUCCUGUGAUUUUUUGAGUACUUAUCCAGGAACUAGAAAAGUCGUGGAUCCUUUUUCUCAUCACCUGCCCUGGGAUGGAUAUCUGCAUCUCCCUAAAAUUCCUGUGUUGAAGCCUUCAUCCGCAGUGUGACAUCUGGAGGGAGAAACUGACGUAGGUUCCCACCACCAAUUUCUCCAGUAUCUUGUUAUCUCAUAUGCUUAUCGAAGACUGCAUGCUCAGCUUACUCAAGAACAGGCUGCAGUGAAUGGGUAAAUGAGAACGUGGACGUGAGAAGCAUCACUGCGAACAAGUUCUGCGUUGCUGGAGGGCCGACUGCCACCACACAGCUCUCCUCCGUCUUCAGAGGGACGGCAACAGCUACUUCCUACACGUGGUGCUUGCCUUGAAGACGCCUUCAAAAGUAACUCAUGAAAAAUCUUGACUCACAGCUGAGCACACCAAUCCGCUUUACUGAUGCUUUGUAGUGGCUCCAGGUCAAGACUAGUCAACAUCCCAUCUCUGGUAUGGGAGUCGUUGCGACCUGUGGGCUGCGGGGCCUCAUGGCAGGUUCUCUAUUGUUUGGGGCUCUCAGUCCAGACGUGCUGGCCUCAGCUAGCCACGAUAGGGCAGCUCCCUCCCAGCUCGCUCACUAUAAGAAUUAAGGUGUUGGGAAAGACUUAGGAACCCCCGUUUUCUUCUGAGCCCUUGUUUUCAUGGGCACACACUGCUUUUUUCUUUGUUUCGAGGAAUUGCACUGUUAAUAAAAAUAAUUGUGUAAAAACAAAGUAAAGACAAAUAAAAAAUUAAAAAUCA